GUUUUUGAAAAAGACUGACCUAAGACAGCAGGGGAGCAUGCUCAUAAUAUUCCUGCCGAGGCACAAAACGCAUAUUAAAAAUGACGUCUUUGUACUUUCGUGUCUAGGUUUAGGUACGAUUUUUUUGUGCCUAG
rfam:Streptococcus phocae strain ATCC 51973 contig_7, whole genome shotgun sequence.